UACGAAGGGGGCAAGCGUUACUCGGAAUUAUUGGGCGUAAAGCGUGCGUAGGCGGCUUUAUAAGUUGGAAGUGAAAGCCUUUGGCUCAACCAAAGAAUUGCUUACAAAACUGUAGAGCUAGAGUAUUAGAGAGGAUAGAAGAAUUUCUGAUGUAGGGGUGAAAUCCGUAGAUAUCAGAAAGAAUAUCGAAGGCGAAAGCAUCUGUCUGGCUAAAUACUGACGCUGUUGCACGAAAGCGUGGGGAGCAAACAGG
rnacentral:rRNA from 1 species